rnacentral:lncRNA from 1 species
CGCUACCGCUUUCAGCUCCACGUGAGGCCAUGGAGGAUUGCACCAUUGAUGGCUUCCACAUCCCAGCAGGCACACGGCUUAUAGUUAACUUGUGGAAGAUGCAUCGUGAUCCCAGCAUUUGGGCAAACCCGUCAGAAUUUAUACCUGAUAGAUUCCUAAAUGAAAAUGCCAAGUUGGAUGUUAAUGGUCAGGAUUUUGAAUUUUUACCAUUUGGCUCUGGUAGAAGGAAGUGUCCAGGGAUCUCAUUCGCUCUUCAGGUUCAGCACUUGACAUUGGCACGCCUGCUCCAUGCAUUCAGCUUAGGGACGGUCUCAGACACAUUAGUUGAUAUGAGUGGAAGCCCUGGGAUCACUGUCCCUAAAGCAACACCAUUGGAGGUUACCCUUACCCCACGGGUGCCUUCCAAUGUUAUUUGAGUACUUAAAAGCAAGAAGAUAAUAGUUUGUCUCUAAAUGCUCUCUGGUACUCACUCUAGUAACAGUGUCAGGUCUGUGAACUGCUUUCAGUUACUAUUAUAUUGAUAACUAAACUCUUGCCCAUAAAAGCCGACCUCUUAUAGAUAACUGAUUAUGUAUCAUUAACGAAUAAAGCAAGAUGAAUAAUUACUGUACUAAUCACCAACAUUGGAAUAAUUCUGUGGGCACAAGCAGAAAAUGUCAUUUACAAAGAAUGGAAUGACUUUUUUUUAUUUAAUUUCUCUCAUUUAUUCAGGAGAAAGAUAACGUUGUGACUAUGUGACAUAACCCACAAAAUUGCAGCAACUAUAAUAUUUGCUUUCGGAGAUAAAAUUUUUUGCACCUGGCCUAUCAUUUUGCUGCAGCCUGCGGCAAGUAAUCAAAGAUGUGGAAGAAGUUGAGAAUCAUCUUUUAGCCAUGUAUUUCAACAUAGAAGUUCCGUGAAGAAAUUGUUGUAAAGGCUUGUUGUUCAUCUGCAUCGUCUUGGGGUUGAAAAAUCUGCAAUAUAUAGCUAGUAGAAUAAGACAAGAACUUGCAUUAACAUACCAUCUUUCUACUAAAACGUGGUCCUAAUUUUCCUAAUAGGGUUACGUCACAACUUGCACAAGUGGUGUUCUUUUGUGCAAAAAAACCCAUGCCUUAUUUAGCACAGGAAUAAUAUUCCUGUGCUCUAAUACAAAAGAGUGGAGAAUGCACAGAAAAUUAAAUUGGAUCAAAUGAUCCACAAGAUUGGUAAGUAAGGUCAAUUUAUAACUACUUUUCUAAUUUGAAUUAUUCAUAUUCAGGACCUAGGUUGGAAAGCAACUUGAUCUUCAAUUCUUUGGGGUUCUUGUUUUCUUUCAUGUUCUAGAUAAAAUUGUGGAGAUAGAUGUGGCAGCUCAAGGUGAUUGGUGUAUGAGAUGAAAGAAAUAUAUGCUAUACGAAGAAUUAUAGGCAUGACACCUGUUUGAGGAAUAAGUGACAGAGCACAAUUGCGUGCGUCUUUGCAUGAAUCAUAGGAUAGCUAAAGGCCUCCUCAAGAUAUGUUGGAUGGAUCUCGCAAGUGACUUCCUCGAGUUAAUUAGUUGAAGCGAGCAUGUUUCGUUACAAGUUUGCUUGUGCAAGUCAUCUGAGACGAGGCUUAGACCAAGUCAACCUAAAGACUCGGUCAAAAAUCAACUCGCUGAUCUCCUCUGAGAUCAUGACGCGAACUUAAUCCACUAAUGACUAUUCCUUCAAUCCAAGGUCGUGGGUUUCGGAUCUUUAUAAAAACCCCUGAAAAUUCAAACUAGACAAGUAUUUCUUUAUCUCUUUCCACCAUUGAAGACACACACUCUCUCUAAGAUUUUUCUAGCUUUCUUGAGAUUUUUAACAAAGCUUUUUUAUUCAGAAGCAAUACUUGAGUUGAGGGACAAGUUUUUCCAAAAUCCCAAAUACCUAACUUGAGCUCAAAGAGUUCACGCCGGAGAAACCUUUAACAUCCCUCUAAUCUUUUCUAUGAAUGUAGGUGAUGUUGCAAGAAAGUGCCUGUUGUCAUGGCCCAAGCCUCCAAGUAACAUGGCCUAGCCCAUGGAUGAUUCUAGACUCAUGUAGUGUGUAGAUAUUUCUCAUGUACUUAUUAUGGGUAGGUGGUAGAUAGUAGUUGAGCAUUAAUCCACUCUCUUGUACUCUAUAUAUAAGAGGGGGCUUCAUUUGGCCAAUACACACAACACAUAACAAGCAACACAAUACCAAGCAUUGUAAGCAUUUCAUCAAGCAAUACAAGUCCUUUUCUCCAUCUUGUGUGAGUUUGAGUGAAUACACUUUCCAGUUUUCGAAUCCAGCAGCAGAUUUGAAUGUAAGGCUGACUUAGGGACAAGAGAGUGUGAAUUUAGCACCUAAGGCCGCACGGCACAACGUGGGAUAUAACCGGGUCGUGAUGGUAUCAAAGCUGUCAACACUCGUGGGAUAAUUGCGUUGUUCGAAAAGAAUGAUGUCGAAACUCACUCAUGAUGACCAAAGGGUGAGGGAGCCUAACCCCAAUGGGAAAAAAAAGGGAAAAACAACAAGGAGAAGUUCAUGGACUUGCUCAACGCCAUGGAGAAUCGGGUUGUUCGUGGGGAGGUUGUCGUCACUGAGAUUAAGGAACACCUCGAGAUCUUUGAGCAGAAAUGGAUGAAUUUGGGGAAUGGAUGGGCAACCUGAGCCAAGAUGUGGUGGCGCAAUGCCAAGGUGAGCAGGAGAAUGUGAACAUUGCGAAGGGGUAUCUUGAGGACCACGUGAUUGCUUGAUGGCAGCGGAAGCAUGCAGAGAUUGUGCGCGGGACGUGCAUCAUCAACACAUGGGACUUGCUGAAGUGCGAGCUCAAGAAGUAAUUCUAUCCGGGGAAUGUGACGUGUGAGGCUCGCAAAAAGAUGCGAGAGUUGAAGCAUAGGAUGUCCAUCUCGAAGUAUGUCGAUGAUUUCUCUAAGCUCAUACUCCAAAUUGACAACAUGAACACAUAUGACUUGUUGUUCAAUUUAAUGGGGGGACUCCAACUGUGGGCACAAUAUAAGUUACACCGGCGCCAAGUGAAUGACAUCUCUAUAGCCCUCAUUGAGGCGGACACACUUGUGGAGUUUCGAAAAGGUGAGUUGUCCAAACCGAAGAAGGAUAAUAAACCCCAACAUGGCAAAUGUGGGGAAGCAAAGGGAGAUAAGUUGCAGCACCACGAUGGCAAUGAUAAUCCAUAAAAGAAGGAUGGCUUGAGGGAUGGCCUGAAAGAUGGCAAGAAUGAUGCCAAAUGCAAACACAAUAAGGCUUUCAACACCAUGUUUAGCAAGACUAGGGAAAAGCAACCAGAGGCACCACUAGUCGAUGCUGCAAACAUAGACUGUCUUCAACUCUUCAAUACGUUGAAUACCAAGCCAAUUCUAGCAAAGGUGCAGGACAAGUCGUUCAUGCACAUCGAGGCCACAAUCAAUGGGAAAUGAGCUCAUGUCUUGAUUAACACGGGGAGUGUCCCACAACUUCAUCAAGGUGGAUAAGGCCAAGCGACUUGGACUCAAGGUCGAGAAAACGGAUGGCUGGCUGAAGACAGUGAAUUCGGAGGCCAAACCACUCUGCGAGGUAGCACAUGAUGUGGAGCUACACCUAGGCCCUUGGCGAGGUAAGACUCACUUUUCCGUUGUACCUUUGGAUGACUUUACGCUUGUUUUGGGCAUGAAAUUUUUAAGACAAUUCAAUGCGGUGCCAUUUCUGAGGUACAACUCAAUGUUCAUCCCAGAGGGAGCCCUAUGCUUAGUCCCGAAAGUGAGCACGGCCAUACCACCAGGCCAACUUUUCGCAAUGCAAAUCAACAAGGGUUGCAAGCAGCAUGAUGGGAAGGACGUUAUGGCCAUGGAGCCCAUACCAGAGGCAAUAUCCCAAGUCCUUGAGGAGUAUAAAGAUGUGAUGUCACCCGAGUUGCCAAAACAGUUGUCGCCAUGAUGGAGGUAGACCAUAAGAUUGAGUUGGAGUUGAGUGCCAAAUCGUUUAUGAAAGCACUAUACUUCAUGUCUCUAUAAGAGUUAGAGGAGUUGUGGAGGCAAAUCAAAGAGCAGCUGGAUGCAGGAUAUAUCCAACCUUCGAAGGCAACAUAUGGGGCACCGGUGCUGUUCCAACGGAAGCAUGAUGUCUCACUUCGACUGUGUAUCGACUACCGAGCCCUCAAAAAGCUGAUUGUGAAGAACAAGUAUCUCAUCCCACUAAUUGCGGACUUGUUCGACCAACUUGGAUGGUUCAAGUACUUCUCUAAGCUUGACCUUAGGUUGGGAUACUACAAAGUACGGAUUGCGAAGGACGAUGAGCCAAAGACAACUUAUGUAGCGAGAGCCGAGAUAUGAGGCGUACGAGUUCAAAGUCAUGCCUUUUGGCCUCACCACCACUCUGACCAUAUUUUACACGCUCAUGAACCGCAUAUUCCAGCCAUACCUUGAUCAAUUUGUGGUGGUAUAUCUCAAUGACAUUGUGGUAUAUAGUAACAAUGUGGCGGAGCAUGCUAAGCACUUGUGGGUUGUGUUCGGGGUGUUGCGGGACAAUGAGUUGUAUGUGAAGCGGGAGAAGUGCCCAUUUGCUAAACCAGAGGUUGAUUUUCUUGGCCACAAAAUUAGAGAUAGGACGUUGCUCAUGGACAAGGCCAACAUCCAAGCCAUUGCCGAGUGGGAGCCACACACGAAGGUUACGGAGUUGCGCUCUUUCUUAAGGCUCGCCAACUACUAUCAGAGGUUCAUAAAGAAUUAUUCCGCUAUUGUCGCACGACUCACUAACUUGCUUAAGAAAACCACCAAGUGGGAAUGGACGGAUAUAAGCCAACAAGCUUUCGAUGCUCUCAAGAAGGUUGUGACGGAAAAGCUGGUUGACACGACUUAAAAGUGUUUGAUUUACUCUCAAGUAUUAGAAAAGAUUUAAUUUAUUUAUUUUAUUUUAUCUAAAAUUUGAAAAUAAAACUUAAAUAUAAACAAUUUAAUUCAAAUAAAACUAUGAAAUUGAAUUAGUUAGGGUUGUGGAUUCACUCUUAGUAGUAAAUAAAACUUAAUAAAUUCUUUUUGUCAUUUUUUUAGAUUUAUUGCCCAAAAGAUUAAUUAUAUAAAUUAUUAUUAUUUUUCCUUUAAUUUUAUGAUGGAUUAAGUAUUCAUUGUGCCAAAAUUUAAUUUGUCUACAAUAAGUCAAAAUACCAUUUUACCAUACCUUAUAUUAAGAUAAAAAGAAUUUAUUGUGUCAAACUCCCUUCUUUGUCUACAAUAAAUCAAAAUUUCAUAAUAUAAAAUAUGUAUAAAAUUAAAUAGAAAAUAAUUUAAUUUAUAAAAAUAAAAAUAAAAUUUGAUUAAAUCAUAUUUAUUUCCUAAGAGUUUCACCUUCCCCUAACUAUUAAUAUUUAGCUAAACAUUUUUUUAAUAAAGGAAAUUACUAAAAUUGAAAAACACAUAAUUAAAAAUGGAAUUUGAAAAUUGAAAUAAAACUAAUUUUUUUGAUUGAAAAUAAAUUACAAAGAGAGAUGAGAAGAAGAAUUUGAGGGGAAAGAAGAGAAGAGAAGGUGUAGAGAGGUGUGUUCAUCCCUCUCUAUUUAUACUAAUACAUGGUAAAUCCAUACCACACAAAUAAAAAAAUCUAAUUACAUCUUAACUUUACAUUUGUCUCACUAAUAAUCCCACUAAUAAAACAUAAACCUAACUUAUCCACUCAAACAUAUCCAACACAUUCCACUAACAAUUACCAUACCUAAUAUGAUAAAAACUUAUAAUUUUACAAUUACCACAUUUACCGUGGUAAAAAUGUAAAAAAUUAGAACUAAAGUCUUGGAUCCUCCUCGACAAUGACAUAAUUUCUCGGACUUCCGGAAUCCAAAUUUGACAUCAAUGCAUUUGUUCGGAGUCUCAAAUUGCAUGAAAUUAUUAUUUUUAUCUACUAAACACACAAAAAUACACAAAAUCAAAUAUUUAGAAAAAUAAUUAGAAAUUCACAAUAUGUUACACAAUUACAAAUAUAAAUUACAUUAAUAAAACAAAAUAACAUUUUUAUCCCUUAAUAAACAUAUAAUUUUUAACACUAAUCACACCCUCCAACUAGCUUAUUGCUAGCCCCUAGCAAUUAAAGCGUUAUAUUAAAUUAAGAUUUACAAAAUUCACAUGCAAGUUAAUAGUUGUUCAUCUAUCCUCUAAACUAUCAAAUAAAUAAACUCUCCAAAUUUUUUUUUUUAAACUCUUGGUCAUCCACUCAUUAUCCAGAAUAUCAUAAACCUUUUUUUGUGCUCAAGUAAUUAACACAAUACUUAUGAUAUUUUAUUAAAAGAAAACAACAUUUUGUUCUAAAACUCAUUAGAAAUUCUAUCUUCAGGCAGUGGAUUAUUCAAGAUUUUUUUUUCUUACAAAAAUAUUGCAUUUUUAACCUAUGUAGCGAGCUUUAGGUCAGUGACUCCCAAACCAGUUGACCUUAGGGCAUUAGGUGUUGAAACACCCCUACGGACUUAAUUACUCAUAUUUUUAAUAAAUAAGCAAACAAUAUAUCUAUAACCCAUGUAGCGAGCUUUAGGCUAGUGACUCCCAGACCAGUUGACCUUAGGGCACUAGGUGUUGAAACACCCCUACGGACUUAAUUACUUGGGUUCUAGAUAUAACAAAAUUAAACUCAUUCAAUUUUUUUCUUUUUUUUUCUUUUUUUUUAAGUAUACACUUUCUAUCACCUUAGAUAUUAUUCCUAAUAAAUCAAAAGAACUAAAUGCUGUAAAAAUUUUAACUUACAACCCACUAGUAUGUGUUAUAGUGUGUGUGUGAAGAAUGAUUUAAUAAUACCUGUUAAAUGAGUAAACAACGAAAUAACUUUAUAACCAAAUGUAGGAGAGUUCACAAAUUUGAGUAAUUCAAAGAAAAAGGAACAAAAACAACUUAUUAUGAAUUUUAAAAUCAAAAUAUAAUACAACAAGACUAUUAGGAUACGUCUCAAAAGUUAUGACUCUUUACACAACAAUCCUAGACACAAAAAAAAAAAAAAUUGUUGUUUUUGGUUUUUUUUUGGGUUUUUAAAAAAAAAUUAAACACACAUAUUUACAAUUUACAUCAAUUAUCCCUUCCCCCCAACCUAAUUUAAACAUUAUAUACAUGCAGAAAGAUGAAAAAGAUAAAGAAAACAUAAAUAAUAAAAGAAGAAAUAGGAACGAUCACACCUGAACAACCCGCUGAAGAUGCGUUUCUAUAGUCCCUACACCCUAUAUUCUACCAUCUUCGACAAAAGCAUUACUAGGAUUUGCUGUAUUCCACAUUUGUCAACUAUUCCCACCCCCCAACCUGAACAAGACAUUGUCCUCAAUGGCUUAAAGGAAAGAAAUAGAGUUUAGAAGACACAACCUCAUAGCUCCAAGAAGAUAGUUACAACCGAAGAGUUAAAUCCAAUUUGUACUUCUUACUAGGGCUAGGGUUACCAUCAUUAGUCAACCAUUCCAAGGCCAAGGUUUUAGGAUCUGGCUAUGGUUUGUAAGUUUGUAAAAGAUCAAGUAACUCAUUAGUAGUAGAAGCACAAACAAAGAGAUUUUUCAUAGAGAUUGGAAUAAAAUGAUUCUUAAUUGCAUGGUUAAUGAAUGUGAGCAACCCAUCAAAAAAAUUAUUAACAUUUAGUAAACCAAUGGAUUUUUUAUGGAUGUUUAAAUGGGCUCAGGAUGCAAAUGUAAUCAAUACCUCUAAAGUUGCAAGAUCUCCUGGCAAGAAAAUGAAAGCGUCAGCAUGAUUUAACAUCUCAGAUAUUCGCUCUUGCAUACUUGAGACAACUAACUCUUCUCCAAUUGGCACAUCAGACACGCAUCCUAGAGGUUUUAAGACUUUUGGAAUGAUACUUAGUACAUGGUUUCCUCUAAUAAAAACAGCUUCUGAGAUAGGCUUUGAUAACUUGCGGUCACCUCUCAGCUAUGGCACGACCAAGAUCUACAGCUGCUUGAACGAACUCUUUGUAUUUUCCAUAAUGAAAUCCAGAGAGGACACAAAUGUUUUUGAAUUGUCUACUCGAAGAUGCUACCAUUAGAAUAAUCUUCAAAAACAAGUUGUGAGUGGUUUGGAAAAAGAGCUCUUAUUUAAAGAUCCGAGUGACAAAAAAAAUGAGAAACAUCUGUAAAUGGGUUGGUGUAUUUUUCAGAUGACGCGUAAAGCUCAUGUCUCAAUUAUUCAAAAGAAAAUAGUAAAAAGAAAAGCAAACAGUGAAAAGAAAAAGUAAAAGAAAACAAAUAAUGAUUAAAUACAAAAUCACACCAUUAAAUGCAAUAAUGCAAAUGAUAAAAGAGUAAUAAAGUAAAAUGAUAUUUACUGGUAAUUGUGAUUGUGGCUCACAUCUUCCUCUGGUUUUACAUCCAGUAACGGCUUGAACGCCCUCUAUAGGUCGAGGAUAGGCUUCCCAUCCAGUUUUCUUAUAAACUGGCAAACAAGGUCUUUUUAAGUCAGAUUCCCAAGACUAAACUGUGCACUUUCGUUUUGGAACAGUCUUCAUAACUUGUGUAUCUCAUAUUGCACAUGUCCGCUUCGAUUCGUCUCAAGAGAUCGUAAGAUAUCAUCCAACGAUUCUUUACUCAUGCCAUAUUUGACGAAUUUAAUUUUAUCUUCUCGACUAUCAGAAACCAUUCCUAAAGAUUUACAAACUUCUAGUUUGCAACUAAGUUGUACACAAUUAUGACAUUUUGAGCUAAGUCGUUUAGCUCUCCUUUUCUUAGCAAACGUACUUUUACCAAAACCAGGCAUGUAAGAAAUAAAUGGAUCAGGAAACUCACCAGCUAAUUGGACCUUUACUUCAAUUAACCAAUGAAUUUCAGAAGGAAUUCUGUUGAUCAUUAACAAACACAAUCUUUUACAACGACCUUUGUAAAUUUUUUUGAGUGCAUUUUGAGGGAAAGAAGGAAAACGCUUAUGCAAUUUAUGUUGUAUUUCUUCCAUGCUUGAUUUUGAGAUUUCAGUUAUUGUGGGAAACUGAGGAUACCGACUUAAGAAGUUACGGAGUACCGUUAUCCGCCAUUUAUACGGGAAAAUAAAUCAAAACACACCAAAAUCAAAUCUGCAAAAUCAAAUCAAACGUGAAAGCUAACAACAAAAAAGAAACACAAUAUGUGCAAAGGAAAAUGAACUUACAUUCGUCCUCUCAUUGGGUUAACAUCAAGCUCCAAUUGAAAUUCAUAUAUGCCACGCUUUAUUUCUCUGAGUUGUAUUUCUAGAUCCUCAAUAUAGAACACAAAUUCCGGUGGUUACAGAUCCCAAAGUGGAUGUGAUUUACAGCUUUGUAUCAGGCCUCUUAAGUGAAAUUUCACACGCAUAAAUCUUUUAAGAUGUGUGAACAUGAAUGUUCUCAUUGAGGUGCUCAUGAUGUAUAAUGAUGAAGAAAACACAAUUAUUUGUCAACUUCAAUUCCUUUAACAGAUAUAACAUGACCCAAAACAAUUCCAGAAGUAACCAUGUAAUGGCAUUUUUCCCAAUUUAAAACAAGUUCUUUUUCAACACAUCUUUUUAAAACGUUUUCCAAAUUAUCAAGGCAAUCAUCAAAAGAAUUCCCAAACACUGUCAAAUCAUCCAUAAAGACCUCUAAACAAUGUUCAAUCAUAUCAGUGAAAAUACUUAGCAUGCAUCUUUGAAAUGUUGCAGGAGCAUUACAAAGUCCAAAUGGCAUUAUUUUAAAUGCAAAUGUUCCAAAGGGACAUGUAAAUGUGGUUUUUUCUUGGUCUUCAAGUGCUAUAGGAAUUUGAUAAUAACCUGAAUAUCCAUCUAAAAAGCAGUAAUAGGGAUGUCCAGCUAUUCUUUCUAAGAUUUGGUCAAGAAAUGGUAAAGGAAAAUUAUCUUUUCUAGUGGCUUCAUUUAAUUUCCUAUAAUCAAUGCACAUGCGCCAACUAGAUGUAAUUCGUGUUGGAAUUAAUUCACCUUUUUCAUUUUUAACUACAGUAAUUCCAAAUUUUUUAGGCACUACUUGUAUAUGACUUACCCACUUGCUAUUAGAGAUAGGGUAGAUAAUUCCCGCAUCAAGUAACUUAAGAACUUCUGUUUUUACUACUUCUUUCAUGUGUGGGUUUAAUCUUCUUUGAUGUUGUUGACAUGUUUUAGCAUUUUCUUCCAAAUUGAUUCUAUGUGUGCAAAUUAAAGGAUUAAUACCUUUAAUGUCAUUUAAAGUCCAUCUAAUUGCAUUUUUAUACUUUUUAAGAACAUAUAGUAACUUACCUUUUUGGUCGCUUGAUAAGGUCGAAGAAAUCACAACAGGAUAAGUUUGUUCUUCUCCAAGAUAAGCAUACUUCAAUCCCUCUGGCAAAGGUUUCAAUUCCAAUUUAGGUGUUUCUUGUUGUUCAGUCUUUUCAAUGAUUCCAAGCUAUUCAAAUUUUGGUUUCCCAUCAUCAGUUUGCAAAGUCUGACAAGAAUCAAACAACAAAUUUAUAUUAGAAGUAUCAUGUUCAAGUUGUUUAUUUGAUUCAAUUGAAUUAACCAAACAAAUAUCACUAAGUUCAGAAAAACUCAUUUUUUGAAUAUUCUCCUCUAUACAAGAUUCAAGUAAUUCAUUUUGUUCAUCAAUUUCAUCUUCAUUCUCAUUUUCCUCAUUAGGUUGCCUACACAUAUUGAAAACAUUCAAUUCCAUAGUCAUAUUUCCAAAUGACAAAUUCAUUAAACCAUUCAUACAAUUAAUCAAAGCAUUAGCAGUUGCUAAAAAUGGUCGACCCAAAAUUACAGGAAUUGAUUUAUAAUUAUUCACAACAGGUUCAGUUUCUAAAACAAUAAAAUUCACAGGAUAUAUGAAUUUAUCAACUUGUACUAAAACAUCUUCCAUUAUUCCUUUUGAUAUUUUAACUAAUCUAUCGGCAAGCAAAAGUGUAGUUGAAGUUGAUUUUAACUCACCAAGAUUAAUUUGAAGAAAAACUGAAUGUGGAAGCAAAUUAACACUAGCACCAAGGUCUAACAAAGCAUGCUCAAUUUUGUGAUCUCCAAUAAUACAAGAAAUAGUAGGACAACCAGGAUCUUUAUAUUUUAACUUAUUAUUAGUAGACAGAAUGGUACUUACCUGUUCAGCCAUAAUAACACUCUUUUUUACCUUCAAUUUCCUCUUAAUAGUGCAUAAGUCCUUUAAAAAUUUGGCAUAUGAAGGUACCUGCUUGAUUGCAUCUAACAGAGGAAUGUUAGCUUUCACUUGCUUAAAGAUUUCAUAAAUUUCAGAAGAGUGGUUUAAUUUCCUUAGUUUAUUCAAUGCAUGCGGAAAUGGUGGUUCAGAUGGAACAAUAGUUAUUUCUUCACUAGGUGUAAGUUUAUCUAGUUCUUCCUUGCCCUUUGAAUUUUCAUUUUCACAAGGUUCAGGAAUAGGCCGAUCAAUAACCUUACUACUACGAAGAGUUAUAACUGACUUAACAUGGUCUAUGGGUGCAUUUUGAAUCUUAGGAUUUAGUUGUGGUUGAGCUGAAAAUUUUCCUUUUUCUUGAAUUGUGAGUGCAGAAGCAAUUUUAGCAAGAGUAUCUUUCAAAUCAGAAAAAGUUUGUGCAUUUUGAUUGUUAAUAGUAUCUUGCUUCCUAAUGAAUGAAUGCAUUGUAUCUUCCAAAUUUUUCCAUGGUGGUGGAACAUAUGGUAUAUAAGGAUGAGUAUUUUGAAAAUUUUGUGGAGGUGGUGCUUGUGAAGAUUGUGCAUUAUUAUUAUUCCUCCAACUGAAAUUUGGAUGAUGUGGCAUUGACUGAUGAGGUGUCACGAUCCUGUUGGACUAAAAUUCUUAUGUACUGUUGAUCGAUGACGUGGCAGCAUAUCAAUGGACUAAAAAUCUCGCGUACGGUACAUGCAUUACACAAGAUUAUUUUCAAUCAAACCGCGUCACUGUUCAAGCCGGGUCAAACCGUGUUACUGUUCAAACAGCGUGGUCAAACCGCGUACUGUUGAUUGAUGACGUGGCGCAAUCCUGAGCGUCCGAAAUAUUUUUGAUCCGAUGGCCAUGAUUUACUCAAUGUAUCUAUAAAAAGGGGGCUCUCCCCCCCUAAUUUGAUAUCUCUGGAUCCAUUUUUGGGCUCCAUUUUUUGUAAUUCCUUCUCCAUCUUGUAUUUUCUACGUAUUUUAAUAAAUUCUCAUUUUUCCCCUAGUUCAAUUAUGAGUAACUAAUUUUCUUUCAAGCUUGGGUUGAAGGUGAAGUCUCAACAUGUGUCAUGGGCUUUAUUUGGUAAAUUUAUUUUCUUUUCCUCUCUAAAUUUUGUGGAUGAUUUGACUUUUCGUCGAAAAAUAAUAAUAAUCUUGUCUAGAUACCGCCCUAGUUACACCGGCUCCCUAGUACAAAGUUAUUAUUAUUUGGCACGAUAAGCCCUUAGCACCAUAUUGAUUAGAGUAUGGUUCAUGAGGUGUGGAUACCCCUCUCAUGAUUUAAUUGACAUUAAUAAGGAACAUUUAACCCAUGGUGCAUGUUGAUACGGAUCUAGAUACCCAAGUACGUCAUUUCAAUAGAUUUCUCUUCAAUUAAUUCUCGUCAUUUCAAUUCCAAUUUUAGGAUAAUCUAAGUCACUUUCACCAUAAAUCCAACCACCCUCAUACAAAAUUAAUUCUACAUAUAAUUAAAAUCCACCUCCUUGUGAGAUCGACACUCGUCACCAUUAAUAUAUUCUACAAUAAAUUCGUGCACUUGCGAGUUCAAUAAAAUUUGCACAACAUGUAUGUAUUACAAACUUCCUCGAAAUCUCUUAGAUGCAAAUAUGGAUUUUCAUAUUCUAAUCCAUAAAAUGUUGGUAAAAGUUGGAUAAUACCUGGUUUGAAGUUAAAUCGAGAUGCUUCUAGAGGAAAUACUAUACACGAUGGUGCUCCGGUUCUUGUUGGAUUCAUGUAGUCUCUCAAAGUUCUCGGUUGAUUAUGUUGAGAUUGGUUGUCUCCUUGAUCAAUUGGAGGAUUAAGUUGGCCUAAAUUGUUUUCGUCUUGGAUCUCGUCCAUGAUUAGUGGUGGUGAUUGAGAUCUACGAAUUAACCUGCCACUUUAAGUUCGAGACCAAUGUCUCAUACAAUAAUUAUAUCACAAAGAUAACAAACAAAUUAGUAACACAAAAACUAAAUGAAAAUUGCAAAAAGAAAAAAAAUGAAAAAUGAAAAAUGUAAAUAAUAUAAGUGUACAAAAGAAAAUUAAUAACUUAAAAUUAAAUAACAAUUUUGGUGGUUGAACCCACCAAUUAAAUUAACAAAAAAAAUAAAGCAUAAAAUAAAUGCGAAAUAAAAAAAUUGGUGGUUGAACCCACCAAUUAAAAUAAAACAAAGCAAAAAAAAAGUGAAAUAAUAAAAUAACUUAAAAUUAAAUAACAACUUUGGUGGUUGAACCCACCAAUAAAAAAAAUAAAAAUAAAAAUAAUGCAAAAUAAAAAAAACUGAAAAUUAAAUACUAAAAUAAAAAAAAUUAGUAGUUAGUUUGUUAAAAGUUAGUAAUUAGUUAGUUAAGUGUUAGUAGUUAGUUUUCUUGGUCCAAAUUAAGUCCAAAUAAGUCCAAGUCUAAUUAUUGUGAGAAAUUUCGUCUAGGAAUCUUAUUGAAAAUUAUUUAUAAUUUUAUGGCCACACUGUAAUUUUUAGAAGUUUAGAAUUGAGCCAAGUGGGAUAAAAGUGAAGAUUCGGAAAGAUGUUAGGGUCGGAACGUAAUUAUGAGAAGAAUGAGUAAGAAACGAGAAUUAUUGGGGUGAAACUAGAAUUAUGAAAGAUGUGGGGGUAGAAGAGAAUUUAAGAAAAAGAAAAGGGGGCCAAUGAAAAUUUACACAAAAAGAAAAAAAAAUAAAAGGAAAAAUAAAACAAAAUAAAUACCUCUCCCCGACAACGGCGCCAAAAACUUGACACGACUUAAAAGUGUUUGAUUUACUCUCAAGUAUAAGAGUGCCCAGUUAUAAUAUAUCUCGGUGAGUCCGAGGUCGAUCCACAGAAAAAAGAUUUAAUUUGUUUAGUUUAUUUUAUCUAAAAUUUAAAAAUAAAACUUAAAUAUAAACAACUUAAUUCAAAUAAAACUAUGAAAUUAAAUUAGUUAGGGUUGUGAAUUCACUCUUAGUAGUAAAUAAAACUUAAUAAAUUCUUUUUGUCGUUUUUUUAGAUUUAUUGCCCAAAAGAUUAAUUAUAUAAAUUAUUAUUAUUUUUCCUUUAAUUUUAUGAUAGAUUAAGUAUUCAUUGUGCCAAACUUUAAUUUGCCAACAAUAAGUCAAAAUACCAUUUUACCAUACCUUAUAUUAAGAUAAAAAGAAUUUAUUGUGUCAAACUCCCUUGUUUGUCUACAAUAAAUCAAAAUUUCAUAAUAUAAAAUAUGUAUAAAAUUAAAUAGAAAAUAAUUUAAUUUAUAAAAUUAAAAUAAAACUUGAUUAAAUCAUAUUUAUUUCCUAAGAGUUUCACCUUCCACUAACUAUUAAUAUUUAGCUAAACAUUUUUUUUAAUAAAGGGAAUUACUAAAAUUGAAAAACACAUAAUUAAAAAUGGAAUUUGAAAAUUGAAAUAAAACUAAUUUUUUUGAUUGAAAAUAAAUUAUAAAGAGAGAUGAGAAGAAUAAUUUGGGGGGAAAGAAGAGAAGAGAAGGUAUAGAGAGGUGUGUUCAUCCCCCUCUAUUUAUACUAAUACAUGGUAAAUCCAUACCACACAAAUAAAAAAAUCUAAUUACAUCUUAACUUUACAUUUGUCUCACUAAUAAUCCCACUAAUAAAACAUAAACCUAACUUAUCAACUCAAACAUAUCCAACACAUUCCACUAACAAUUACCAUACCUAAUAUGAUAAAAACUUAUAAUUUUACAAUUACCACAUUUACCGUGGUAAAAAUGUAAAAAAUUAGAACAAAAGUCUUGGAUCCUCCUCGAUAAUGACUUAAUUUCUCGGACUUCCGAAAUCCAAAUUUGACAUCCAUGCAUUUGUUCGGAGCCUCAAAUUGCAUGAAAUUAUUAUUAUUUUUUUUUUGUUUUGACCACGAGGUAUCCUAGGGAGGGCCCCAACUGUGGGAGGCACCUUUAAGCCCGUACCACAACCCAGACUAGAAGUCCCCGCUCGAACCGAGAGGCACAUGUUCUCCCAACAAAGGCGACUUCCCUACGACUCGAAUUGGGGAGCAAACCCAGUCAAACCACUUAAGGGGACUCCAUUGCCAGUGGAGCCAACACUUUGUUGGUCAUGAAAUUAUUAUUUUUACCUAAUAAACACACAAAAAUACACAAAAUCAAAUAUUUAGAAAAAUAAUUAUAAAUUCACAAUAUGUUACACAAUUACAAAUAUAAAUUACAUUAAUAAAACAAAAUAACAUUUUUAUCCCUUAAUAAACUUACAAUUUUUAACACUAAUCACCGAUCCUAGCACUGCCGAACCAUGCCUUAUCGUUCGAGGUACAACGAAUGCUUCCGAUUUUGCUAUUGGGGGUGUGUUGAUGCAAGCUAAACAUUCCAUAGCAUUUGAGAGCCGAAAGCUCAAUGAUACGAAGGGCGGUAUACGGUGCAAGAGAAGGAGAUGACCGCAGUAGUGCAUUGUUUGCACACAUGGAGGCACUACUUGCUUGGGUCCAAGUUCGUGGUGAAGACGGACAAUGUGGCCACUAGUUACUUUUAAAGCCAAAAGAAACUGAGUCCGAAAGCUUUCAAGAUGACAAGACAUCUUGGCUGAAUUCAACUAUGUGUUGGAGUACAAGUCGGGAAGGGCCAAUUUAGUAACACACGCCUUAAGUCAGAAAGCAAAGCUUUCUGCCAUAAGCCGGAUACUAGGGAAGCUUCUUACGCUCAUAAAGGAGGGAACAUAGCAUGAUCCAUUGGCCAAACAACUGGUUUCUCUUGUGCAACAAGGGAAAUCGAAGAGAUUUUGAGUUGAGGAUGGCAUAUUGUACAUCAAGGGACGAUGCGUCUAUGUUCCGAAAUGGGAAAACUUGAGGCGGAACUUAAUCAAAGAGUGUCAUGAUACUAAGUGGGUUGGAAACUCGGGACAAAGGUAAACACAUACAUUGCUUGAGUCAGCAUACUAUUGGCCCCAAAUGCGGGAUAAGGUGGAGUAGUUCGUGCGGACAUGCCUAAUGUGCCAACAAGACAAAGCGAAACAACAAUGUCACACGAGAUUACUUGAGCCACUGCUCACUCCGGAUCGACUAUAGGAAAGUUUAUCGAUGGAUUUCAUCAUUUGUCUUUUGAAAUCCGAGGGGUUUGUGACCAUUACUGUGGUGGUGGAUCGUUUAUCCAAGUAUGCCACUUUUAUUCCCUCCCUGAAGGAGUGCACAACGGAGGACACAACCAACCUUUUUUUUAAGCAUGUGGUGAAGUAUUGGGGACUUCUGAAAUCCAUCAUUAGUGACCGUGAUAGCCAGUUUAUGGAGAGGUUUUGGACUGAAUUGUUCAAGCUUAUGGGGUCGGCACUACAUUUCUCUACGAACUUUCACCUGCAGACCAACGGGCAAAUGGAGAGAGUGAAUGCCUUGUUAGAACUGUACUUGCGGUAUUUCGUGAGCGCCAACCCGCAUGAUUGGGCAAAGUUGUUGGAUGUGGCCCAAUUUUACUACAACUUGCAGCAAAACGAGGCUACAUCGAUGAGCCCUUUCGAGGUGAUAAUGGGAUAACAGCCGCUAACGCCACACACACUUAUCACGAACUAUAUCGGGAGGUGUCCCGCGGCAUACAAGGUGGCUAAGUUGUAGCAUGAACAAGCGGACAUAGCACAGGUGCACCUCGACAAGGCAACCAAGCGGAUGAAGAAGUAGGUGGACAGUAAGCGUAGACACGUGGAGUUCAAUGUAAGGGACAUUGUGCUAGUAAAGAUCCUUCCGUCCCAACACAAGUCUACCCGUUCGCUGUAUAAGGGCUUUAUCCAAAAGUACAAGGGGCCAUUUCUCAUCAUCAAGAGGGUCGGCAAUGUGUCGUACAAGCUAGAGUUGCCCUCUUGGUUAAAACUUCAUCCGGUCUUCCAAGUGAGUUGUUUGAAGCCAUACCAUGAGGAUACUGAAAGAUCUUAAGUGAGGAGAAUCCAAGCGCCCUCCACUCGGCAACACGAGGGUAUAUGACAAAGAAGUGGAGAUCAUCUUAGCUAAUUGAGUGGUUCGAAAGAAGAGUUUUCCGCCAUGCCAAAAGUACUUCGUCAAGUGGAAUGGACUACCAGAGAGUGAAUCAAGUUGGGAGCCUGCAAACAAAUUUGUGGCAGUUUCAAGACAAGAUCAAGGACUUCCACAAUGAGUCGACAAUGAUGUCUCCAGAUUAAAUGGGGGAGAAUGUCAUGGCCUAAGCCUCCAAGUAGCAUGGCCUAACCCAUGGAUAAUUCUAAACUCAUGUAGUGUAUAGAUAUUUCUCAUGUACUUAUUAUAGGUAGGUGGUAAGUGGCAGUUGAGCAUUAACCCACUCUCUUGUACUCUAUAUAUAGGAAGGGUCUCAUUUGGCCAAUACACACAACACAUAACAAGCAACGCAAUACUAAGCAUUGUAAGCAUUUAUGUUAACAUGUAUGUGUCUAUAAUGUUAAUUUUGAUGAUAACAAAUAAGAUUAAAAAUGAUUAAUCUUUUAAAAGCUCAAAUUAUUUUUCAUACAUUUUUAACAAAUCAUUAUUUUGAUAAUAUAAGGGUUUUAUACUUAAAGGAAAAAUGAUUUUAUGAAAUUGAUUAUUUUUCAAGUUCAUGGUCUAAUUGAAAAAGUUUUAAAACUACGGAAAUAAACUUAUUUGUAAAGUUUUAUAAAGAUUUAGGCUAUAUUAUAAUUAUAAAACAGUUUAGGACAAAAAUGUAAUUUUAAAAAAUAGUUUCACUGUAGCAAACGGCUAAUCAAUAAUUUCCAGAAAGCAUAUUCUGCAAAGUAUUGUUAAAAUGAUAAUUCUGAAAAAUAACGGUAAACCGUUUACGGAAAACGGUGAACCAAUUUGUUUAGAUUGCUAAUCUUGAAUCGUUUAGCAAGAACGGUUGAGCCAAAAUUUUUUUUUUCAGGAUUUUGGAAUUAAAAGCGAUCUGAUAAUGCUAAACGGUUAACCGAUUAUUUGAAUUUCAUCCCAACGGUCAUUUGAACUACUCAAAAUGGUAAACCGAUAGUUGUUAACAGCGAUAUGAUUUCUAAUAGAAAGUCAAUAACGGUUAGUUUUCAGCUCCAACUAUAAAUAAGCUCAACCAAACUCAAACAAAGUGAGAUCGAAGAGCUAUCAUUGAGUUUAUUAUUGAGCAUAUAACCAUUAUUGAGCUUUAAACUUAUUUUUAUUUCUUUGAUUCACACAUUGAGCAUUCAUUUGUAAUCAAACACAUUGUGUGAGAGAAAAUUCAUUUGUAAUCAUUAUCCUGGAGAGGUUGUAAGUGUUGGAAUAUGUUAUGCAAAUUUUAUUCAACUCGCAAGUGCACAAAUCUAUUGUAGAAUAGAUUAAAGGUGACGAGUGUCGAUCCCACGAGGAGGUGGAUUUUAAUUGUAUGUAGAAUUAAUUUUCUAAAUGGGUGGAUGGAUUUGUGGUGAAAAUGAUUUGAAAUAUCUUAAAAUUUAAAUUGGAAUGACGGAAUUAAAUUAAAGUGAAAACUAUUAUAAUGGAAGCACUUAGGUAUCUGGAUCCGCAUAAACAUGCACCAUGGGCUAAAUAUUUCUUAUUAAUGCCAAUUAAAUCAUGAGGAGGGAUUCCACACCUCAUGAACCACACUCUAAUCAAUAUGGUGCUAAAGGUUUAUCGUGCCAAAUAAUAAUAAUCUUGUACUAAGGAGCCGGUGAAAUCAGGGCGGUAUCUAGACAAGAUUAUUAUUAUUUGUCGACGAAAAGUAAAAACAUCCAUAAAAAUUAGAGGGGAAGAGAAAGUAAAUUUACCAAUUAAAGUUCAUGGCACAUGUUGAGACUUCACCUUCAACCCAAGCUUGAAAGAAAAUUAGUUACUCAUAAUUGAAUUAGGGGUAAAAUGAGAAUUUAUUAAAAUACGUAGAAAAUACAAGAUAGAGAAUGAAUUACAGAAAAUGGAGCUAAAAAAUGAAUUCAGAGAUAUCAAAUUAGGGGGGGAAGCCCCCUUUUUAUAGAUACAUUGAGUAAAUCAUGGCCAUCGGAUUAAAAACAGUUUGGACGCUCAGGAUUGCGCCACGUCAUCAGUCAACAGUACGCGGUUUAAACAGUAACACGGUUUGACCACGUGGUUUGAACAGUGAACCGGCUUGAACAAUGACGCGGUUUGGUUGAAAAUAAUCUUGUGUAUAUGCAUGUACCGUACGCGCGAUUUUUGGUCCACUAACAUGCUGCCACGUCACCGAUCAACAGUGUAUAUAAAUUUUGUCUAAUAAAAUCACGACACCUCAUUAGUCAAUGCCACAACAUCAUCGGUCAAUGCCACGUCAUCGUUCCGUAUGUGUGAACAGUGUCAUGAACAGUAACAUAUAUAGUAUCGUACAUGUGAAUAGUGCUAUACAUGUAAACAAUGACAUUUUUCCUUUUAUGCUCCUCCUAAGGUUUUCGACUGUCCUGAGUUCAAAAGUGAUGUCUGUUUUGCCGUCUAAUUUCUCGUUCAUUGUGAAAUGACCAUGAUGCCCCUAAAAUACAUAAAAUACUUAAUUAAAAUAAAACACACGUAAUUAAAUCACAAGAAGCUUAAAUACAUAAAAGUAAGGGUGUUAGUAAGAUUUGAAAUGUAAAAUAAUGAUUUUCUCUUUUAUAAAUAUACAUUUUCUAACACUCAACACACCCCCCAACUAGCUUAUUGUUAGUCCCUAGCAAAUAAAGCGAAAACAAAAUUCAAACCCAAAAUAAUUUUUUUUAUAAACAAUCUUGUUUAUUCAAUCAGACUAAUGAUAGCAAUCAAAUAAAAGUAUAAGCAUUAUCUCCAGUCUAAAGAAACAUCACACCCACAUCAACCAUCCACAUGAAUCAGCCCAGUAAACUUUAUCAUAGCUGCUUUCAAGAAUGACAUGUCAAACCCCAAAAUCUCACUGGUAGUAGUGACACUCUCACAAAGAAAUUAAACCCAAAAAAUAGUCACUCCAAUGAAUGGUAACUGAGAGAAAAUAAUAAAGAAGUAAUAUCACACGCUCUUCCUAAGAUGAAAGAAAUACGCCCUCAACUUAGAAAUAAUACGAUCUCAAGUCAACCAAAAUGCUAGUCAACCCAAAUUAUUUAUUUAUUUAUUUAUUUUAUAUGUAUCACUACAUCUUUUUAGCCCAUAAAACUAGCUUCUACUUCAGACUAUAGAUUUCUAAAAUCAAGAAUGACUUUUAUUAGGACGUAAUAUAGGCUAGGGACAUGGCUGACAAAUGAAAGAAAAUAGAAAAAAUAAAAUAUAUGUUUGAGAAAAAAUAGAGAUAUUUUAGAAAUUACAAGAUGCAUUUUGGUUAUUUAUUAUUAUUUUUUUCUUUUUUUUUAAACAACAAUUUUUGUUGUUUUUUUUUUUUGUUUAGCAUAACUUCACUGAACAAAAUAAUUAUUUACUUUUUUCUCAAACAUAAAUAAGUGAUGGAACUUGUAAGAUAUCGGGUAAUACUCCACAUCGGAGUAGGUCAAGAUGAUAAGUUAACAAAGAAAUUUUUUUUUUUUUAAAGGCUCAAAAUGGUUAACUAUGAAUUUUUCACAAAAAGGAUGGCUAUAAAGGCUCAAACGGGUCAAAGAUGAUCUUUUCAUCGUCUUUUAGGGCUCUAAAUACUCUUCCAUAUCUACUAGUUAGAUGGGCCUCCAGAUGUCGCCACACACAUUUUUUUCUUUUUUUUUUUAAUUUUACAAUUUUUUUUAAGGGUUAACUCAAAAGAAAUCUAGAGAUCGUGUAUAAAAUAAUAAACUGCUAAAUUGUAUGACGAAUGGGUAAAAAGGGUUACUCUCCAAGAAAAAUGACUCACUUGGUACUUAUUAUGACAUGUUCAUUCCUUCAAGCAACUCAUAUUUGUCUCCGACAUCAACAUGUAGAGUAGCAAACAUGGCGUAAAAUCACUUAAGACCAAAGAUAAUACAAAUACUAAAAUUUGAAAUUCAUCAUGUCAUCCAAUAUUAAGAAGAUGUGUUUCUAGAUGCAUUACACUCCAUAUUCAGCCAUCUUCGACUCAAAAAUUUGAAAUUGUAUAUUUAUAAAGGAGAAAUUAAAAAGAAGAAGUUAAAAAAAUGAAUAUCAAAGCUUAAUAAAGAAAAAAAAUGGAAUUUUUUUUUUUUUUUUAACAAAGAAGAAGCGUUUCUAGAGUAACUACACUCCAUAUUCAGUCAUCUCCAUAUUCAGCCAUCUUCGACUCAGAUUCUCGAGACUAUAUCGUGCAUGCUCUUUCUGGAAUAAUGACCAUAACUGGAGAAUCGCUUCUUGCACAUAUCCACUGGGAUGUGUUUAAAGAGACAAAAUGAUAUCAUCCAAUGACUCCUUAUUCAACCCAUCCCUAAUGAAUUGAAUCUUAUCUUCCUUGUUAUCAGACACUAUUCCUAAAGAACAUGUUUUUUUAUCGCAACUCAUUCUGGCACACUUAUGACAAGCAACAUAAAUUUUUUGAGCUCUUCGUUUUCUUACAUAAUUUCCUUUACCACAACCAGGCAUGUAUGCAAUAAAUUUUGGAGGUAACUCACCUGCCAAUCGUACUUUAGCCUCGAUUAACCAACGGAUGUCAGCAGGUAUGUUAUUCCUCAUGAGCAAUCACAUGUGUUCGGACCGAGCUUUAUAGAUUGUAAGGAGGGCAUUCUGAGGAAGUGAAGGGAAUCGAUUGUGAAGCUUCGCUAGAAUCUCAUUUCUGUCCAUACUUUCGCCUCAGAAUAUCAGUUAUUAUGGGAAACUGAAGUUACCGACUUGAUUGUCACGGAGUACCGUUAUCCGCCACUUCACCGGGGUAACAAACUAAAGCACAAAAACAAAGAAAAAUAAACUAAAACACAUAAAGAAAAAUUACAAUCGUCUUCUUAUUAAAUUUACCUCAAGCUGCCAUUGGAUGUUGUAGACACCUCUCUCAAUGUCUCUGAGUUGGCUUUCUAAAUCCUCAACAUAGGAUACUAACUCUGGUGGUUGCAGAGCCCAAAUACGAUAUGUUUUACAAAAUCGAAUCUGCCUUUUGAGAUGAGAUUUUACACGUUGAAGUGGUCUAAGAAUGUCCAGGAGGAUCUGUUUAGCUAUGACACUCAUUAUUAACAAUGAUAAGAGAAAACUUAAUGGUUAAACAAACACACUUAUGCAAAAAUAAUUUUAAUUAGCAAAAGAAUAGUAAAAAUAAAGAAAAAAAAUCAAAUCACCGAAAAGAAAAAAAAACUCAAUUCAAAUCUAGUGGGUCACUCAAAUUUAUUUCGGUGUCCUCUCCAUGUGGUUGGUACUCUAGAUAUGGCUUUAAUCUUUGACCAUUAACUUUAAAAGUGACAUUGUUCUUUGGCUCCUUAAUUUCAAUUACCCCAUGUGGAAAAACAAUGUGAACAAUAAAGGUGCCAGACCAUCGAGAACGUAACUUACUUGGGAAUAUGUCUAAGCGAGAAUUGAAUAAAAGCACUUUCUGACCUGGAGUGAAAGAUUUUCUCAUAAUUUACUUGUCAUGAAAGACUUUCAUUCGCUGCUUGUAAAUCUUGGCAUUUUCGUAUGCAUCAUUGCAAAUUUCUUCAAGUUCUACCAGCUGUAAUCUUCUUUCUGAGCUAGCUUGCUGCAUGUCAAAGUUGAAUUUCUUGAUGGCCCAGUAUGCACGAUGCUCGAGUUCUACAGGUAGGUGGUAAGUUUUUCCAUACACUAGCUUGUAUGGUGACAUCCCAAUCAGGGUCUUGAAAGCCGUUCUAUAUGCCCAUAAUGCAUCAUCGAGUCUUAAUGACCAAUCUUUUAUGUCUGGUCUCACUGUCUUUUCUAAUAUGUGCUUUAUUUCUCGAUUGGAGAUUUCAACUUGGCCACUGGUUUGCGGAUGAUAUGAGGUCGCCACUUUGUGAGUGAUUGAAUAUUUCGUCAAAAGAGCCUUGAAUGCUUUGUUACAAAAGUGGGCACCACCAUCACUGAUUAUUACUCGAGGGAAUCCAAAGCGUGAAACAGUGUUGCUUUUCAAAAAUCCUAUCACCACCUUGUGAUCAUUAGUUCUAUAUGGAAUUGCUUAUACCCAUUUCGAUACGUAAUCAACAGCAACCAAUAUGUAUUGGUGACCAAAAGAAGAGGGAAAGGGUCCUAUGAAGUCGAUACCUCAUACAUCAAAAAUCUCGACCACUAAAAUUGGGUUUAGUGGCAUCAUAUUCCUUCGCGUAAUGCUCCUCAUUCGUUGACAUCUAUCACAUGAAAAACAGAAAAUGUAAGCAUCUCGAAAUAUAGUUAGCCAAUAAAAACCACAUUGUAAAACUUUUGUAUCUAUUUUCUUAGCACUAAAAUGGCCUCCACAAGCUUGUUCAUGGCAGAAUGAAAGGAUAUUAUGAAUUUCACUUUCUGGCACACAUCGUCUAAUAAUUUGAUCUGCACAAUACUUGAACAAAUAAGGGUCAUCCCAAAAGAAAUUCUUUAUUUCCGUAAAAAAAUUGGCUUUGUCUUGCUUGGUCCAAUGCUCUGGAAGUUGACUUGUAACAAGAUAAUUCACGAUGUCAGCAUACCAUGGUAAUACUUCCACACUCAUCAAUUGUUCAUCUGGAAAUGACUCAUUCAAUGUUAAUGGUUCUGUAAUUGUGUCAAAAUGGAGACGAGAAAGAUGGUCAGCCACAACAUUCUUUGUGCCUUUCUUAUCUUUAAAUUCUAAGUUGAACUCCUGCAAAAGUAACACCCAACGAAUUAGCCUAGCUUUUGCAUCUUUCUUUGUGAGAAGAUAUUUAAGAGCAGCAUGAUCUGUGAAUAUACUUAUUUUACAACCAAUGAGAUAAGAUCGAAAUUUCUCUAAUGCAAACACUACUGCUAGCAUUUCUUUUUCAGUAGUUAAAUAGUUCAACUGUGCAUCAUUCAAUGUCAUAAUAGCAUAGUAAAUAAUAUGGGGAAUUCGAUCAACUCUUUAUCCUAAAACUACUCCUACUGCAUAAUCAGAUGCAUCACACAUGAGCUCGAAUAGUAAGCUCUAAUUUGGGGGCUGAAUAAUGGGUGAUAAUGUCAACAAUUGCUUUAGUUUUUCAAAUGGCACAAGACAUAAAUCAUCAAAGAUAAAAAGUACAUCCUUAGCAAGUAAAUUGCAUAAUGGUCUAGAAACUUUGCUAAAAUCUUUAAUGAAAUGUCUAUAAAAACUAGCAUGCCCAAUGAAAGAUCUUACUUAUCUGACUGUUUUAGGUGGAGGAAGAUUGAAAAUGAGAUCCACAUUGGUUUUAUUAACCUCAAUACCUUUGCUCGAAAUGAUGUGACCGAGAACAAUACCUUGUUUUACCAUAAAAUGACAUUUCUCCUAAUUUAAGACUAAGUUCUUCUCGAUACAUCUCUGCACAACUAAUGUUAGAUGAUGUAAACAUUGAUCAAAUGAAUCACCAAAGACAGAAAAGUCAUCCAUAAAGAUUUCAAGAAAUCGUUCAACCAUAUCAGAAAAAAUGCUCAACAUGUAUCGCUGAAAUAUAGCAGGUGCAUUACAUAAUCCAAAUGACAUCCUCCUAUAUGCAAAAGAGCCAAAAAGGCAAGUGAAAGUAGUUUUCUCUUGAUCUUUUGCUGCUAUGGGAAUCUGAUUAUAUCCUGAGUAACCAUCUAGAAAACAAUAAAAUUCAUGGUCUGCUAAUCUAUCAAGCAUUUGAUCGAUAAAUGGUAAAGGAAAAUGAUCUUUACAUGUGACAGAAUUCAACUUUCUAUAAUCAAUGCAUACACGUUAUCCUGUAGUUACUCUAGUGGGUAUCAAUUCAUUAUUGGUAUUCGUAAUUACUGUGACUCCUGACUUUUUGGGGACAACUUGUACAGGACUGACCCAUGAACUAUCAGAAAUGGGAUAAAUGAUACAUGCAUCUAAUAGCUUAAGGACUUCAGUUCUAACAACUUCUUUCAUGUUAGGAUUUAACCGACGUUGCAUUUCCCUAGUAGGUUUAGUAUUUUCAUCAAGGUGAAUGUAAUGCAUGCAGUCUACUGGGUUUAUACAUUUUAUGUCUGCUAUGGUUCAUCCUAAUGCUCAUUUGUGCUCUUUUAAAACAUCCAACAACUUACCUUUUUGUUCGUCAUUUAGGGAUGAUGAGAUGAUUACUAGUAGAGUACUUUCUUCUCCAAAAAAUGCAUAUUCCAAUGUGUUGGGUAAUGGUUUGAGCUCAAGUUUCGGUGGUGAUUAUGAUGUUAGAUGAGUUUCUUCUCUAAUGUGCUAGUUGUUCAACUCUUGACUUCAAUUUAUUAGUGUCCAUGGAUGGUGUUGAGUCAAGUAGAACAUUGACCUCAUCGACCGAUCUGUCAAUAUCAAAAUCAAAACCAAAGUGAGUUAAACAUGUUUGUAAAGGAUCAUCACUAAGGUUUGAAAGAAAAGUAUUAUCAACAAUUUCUUCUAUUAAAUCCACGUCAGCAAUUUCAUCAUCUGCAUUGUGAGGUUGUUUGGCAAUGUUGAAGAUGUUUAGCUCCAUAGUCAUGUUGUCAAAGGACAACUGCAUAUUUCCAGUUCUGCAUUGAAUGUGAGCAUCGGCAGUUGCCAAGAAAGGUCGGGCGAGGAUAAUGAGGAUGUGCUUCCUUGAAUCCUGGAUUGGUUGAGUGUCAAUUACAAUGAAAUCAACAGGAAAAUAAAACUUGUCUACCUGGAUAAGUACGUCAUCCAUAAUACCACGAGGUAUUUUCGUAGACCGAUCUACAAGCUGUAACACCACUGGAGUUGGGUGUAAUUCUCCAAGUCCAAGUUUCACAAAUACUGAAUAAGGCAACAGAUUUACACUAGCUCCUAAAUCCAACAAAGCAUUCUCAAUUGUGUGGUUCCCUAUACUACAUGAGAUAGUGGGGGAGCCUGGGUCUUUGUAUUUUAGAGGAAUUUUGUGUUGGAGUAUAGAACUAAUGUUUUCUGUUAAAAACGUCUUCUUUUGAACGUGAAUGUUUCUCUUUUUAGUACAAAGGUCUUUAAGAAACUUGGCAUAAGAUGGAACUUGUUUUAUAGCAUCAAUUAAAGGGAUGUUAACACUUACUUGUUUGAAGAUUUCAAGAAUCUCAUCUGUGGAUUUUCCUUUCUUUCCUUUAGCUAACCGCUUUGGGAACAUAUUCUCGUGGGUUGGUUUCUUCUUUCUCUUCCGAUGGUGAGUCCUCAACAUUUACAAGUACAAUUUGAUUUUCUUUUGUCACCGGUAUCUGCACUUUGUUGUCGACUUUUUUUCCUUUUCGGAAGGUCAUGACUGCUUUGACCUCUCCAUGCUGUUGUGGUGAAUUGGUACUUACUUCAUGUACUCCUUUAGGAUUAGGCACUAGUUGACUUGGAAAUUUAUAUUUCUCAACAGUCAUUGCCAAGGUCUGAACUAAAGAAGCAAGUUGCCCCACAAUCUUGUCGAGGCUUGAAACUGAUUGGGCUUGUGAGUUGAAGCCUGCUCUCAUCUCAUUUCGUAGUCCAUCAAUGGUGCGGUUCUGUUGCUCAAUCGUAGAGUGAGUAAUAUUCUUGAAAUUCUAGAAUGCAUCCUCUCAUGGUCUGUGUUGAGAGUAGUUCAGGUUCUGAUUGUAUGGUCUAAAUGGUGGCUGAAAGGCUUGAGGAAUUUGAGGAAUUGGUUGCAUUGGUGGAGCUGGAGCUGUUGGUCCAUUCUGUUGGAAUCCUUGAGACCAUGAAAAAUUGGGAUGGUCUCUCCAUCCAGGGUUAUAUGUGUUGGAGUAUGGGUUGUAAUUUGAUGGUUUUCUCAUUACACCUAUGGCAUUGGCUUGAUUUGAGUAUGAGUCAUGGUCAUGUGGUUCUGUUGAUUUAGCAGUCGUUAAUGAUGUUAUUUGUCGAGAAAGAUCUUCAAUUAUCGCUUUGACUUCUUUAAUUUCUGAACUUGACUCGCCAAUGUAAACCUCAUUUACUCCUUUAAUUCUUUUAGUGUUCCUGAGCGAUCGACUCCGUUGUUGGGAAUUCUAUGCUUGUCGCUGGAAGAAUUCCCAAAUCUCUGAUGCACUUUUUGACAUUAGUUCUCCUCCACUUGUUGUCAUUUGCCAUUAUUGCACAUGUGGCAAUAAUCCCUCCAAAAAAGUAUUGGCAUUGAUGUCAUUUCUCAUACCCGUGAUGUGGACACUUCAAGAGAAGCCCAUUGAAUCGCUCCUAUGUUUCGAAAAACUGCUCGUCUUCUUUCUAGGUAAGCUCUGAAAUUUCCCUGCGAAUAGCAUUGGUUUUAUGCACUAGGAAAUAUUUAUUCAAAAAUUUUGUUACCAUUUGUUCCCAUGAUGUAAUGCUAUUAGCAGGCAAUAUAUUGAGUCAUGAACGAACUCUAUCCUUUAAAGAAAAUAGGAAUAGUCUAAGUUUAACAUCAUCAUCUGAAAAAUUCUCAUAUUUAAAUGUUUGACAAACAGCAUGAAAAUCACUCAAAUGAUUAUAUGGGUCCUCAUUUUCUAGGCCAUAGAAUGUUGGGAGACAAUUUAGCACACUAGAUUUUAGUUCAAAACUUCUAGCAGCUACAUUUGGGUAUCUUAUGCAUGAUGUGCUCAAAUUAGUUAAAGGACUGAAGUAGUCCUUAAAUUGCCUCUCCUGUGGUGGUUGUUGUUGUUGCAAAUCCAUUUCACUUUUAUCUUUAAUUACAACGUGUUUGUAUGUGCGAAGUGUUUUUUCAAGUUUAAGGUCUAUAGGUUCAAGAUUAGAUAAUAAUGAUUUUCGAUCAUGCAUGCAAAGAACACAAAAAAUGGGAAAAAAACAAAUAAAAAUAAAGAAGAAUGACUAACCUUAUCACAUUGUUACAACAUUUCUAUAAAACACACUAAAACAAAAACGUGAAAUAAAUUAACUAAAAAUAAAUUAAUAAGAUAAACAAAAAAAAAUAACUUGAAAAUUAAAUUACAGAAUUUUAAAGAAGAGAGAAAAAAAAUUCUUAGCUCAAAAUGUAAAUUCACUCUUUUUUUCUUUCUUUUUUUAAAAUUAAAAAAAAAGUACAAGAAAAAUAACUAAAAGAAUUUUUUUUACAAAAAUUAAUUCUACAAAUUAAAAUAACUUACCUCCCCGGCAACGGCGCCAAAAAUUUGUUGUGCAAAUUUUAUUGAAUCCACAAGUGCACGAAUCUAUUGUAGAAUAGAUUAAUGGUGACAAGUGUCAAUCCCACGAUGAUGUGGAUUUUAAUUGUGUGUAGAAUUAAUUUUCUAAAUGGGUGGAUGGAUUUGUGGUGAAAAUGAUUUGGAAUAUCUUAAAAUUUAAAUUGGAAUGGCGGAAUUAAAUUAAAGUGGAAACUAUUAUAAUGGAAGCACUUGGGUAUCUAGAUCCGCAUCAACAUGCACCAUGGGCUAAAUAUUUCUUAUUAAUGCCAAUUAAAUCAUGAGGCGGGAUUCCACACCACAUGAACCACACUCUAAUCAAUAUGGUGCUAAGGGCUUAUCGUGCAAAAUAAUAAUAAUUUUGUACUAAGAAGCCGGUGAAACCAGGGCGUUAUCUAGACAAGAUUAUUACUAUUUGUUGACGAAAAGUCAAAACAUCCACAAAAAUUAGAGGGGAAGAGAAAGUAAAUUUACCAAUUAAAGUCCAUGGCACAUGUUGAAACUUCACAUUCAAUCCAAGUUUGAAAGAAAAUUAGCUACUCAUAAUUGAACUAGUGGUAAAAUAGAAAUUUAUUAAAAUACGUAGAAAAUACAAGAUAGAGAAGAAAUUAUAGAAAAUUGAGCUCAAAAAUGAAUUCAGAGAUAUCAAAUUAGGUGGGGAGGCCCCUUUUUUAUAGAUACAUUGUGUAAAUCAUGGCCAUCGGAUUAAAAACAGUUUGGACGCUCAGGAUUACGCCACGUCAUCAGUCAACAGUACGCGGUUUGACCACGCAGUUUGAACAGUCAACCGGCUUGAAUAGUGACGCGGUUUGGUUGAAAAUAAUAAUGUGUAUAUGUAUGUACCAUACGCUCGAUUUUUUGUCCACUAACAUGCUGCCGCGUCACCGAUCAACAGUGUAUAUAAAUUUUGUCCAGUAGAAUCGUGACACCUCAUCAGUCAAUGCCACAACAUCAUCAGUCAAUGCCACAGCAUCAUCAGUCAAUGCCACGUCAUCGUUCCGUAUGUGUGAACAGUGUCAUGAACAAUAUCGUACAUGUGAAUAGUAUCGUACAUGUGAACAGUGAUAUUUUUUCUUUUAUACUCCUCCUAAGGUUUUCGACUGUCUUGAGUUCAAAAGUGAUGUCUGUUUUGCCGUCUGAUUUCUCGUUCAUUGUGAAAUGACCAUGAUGCCCCUAAAAUACAUAAAAUACUUAAUUAAAAUAAAACACACGUAAUUAAAUCACAAGAAGCUUAAAUACAUAAAAGUAAGGGUGUUAGUAAGACUUGAAAUGUAAAAUGACGAUUUUCUCUUUUAUAAAUAUACAUUUUCUAACACUCAACAGAAUACACUUGGGUUAAGAGAUUGAGGAUAAUCUCUUGUUGUAAAGGUCCAUUAAUACCUUGGAAGUCAAUUGUAAGCAUUUGAAGUCUUGGGAGGCUUGGAUAGUGAAAUCCUCAAGCUCGGUUUACUUAGAGGUGUAGACAUAGGUGAGGUUGGUCGAACCACGGAAAAUCUCAUUGUUUAAAUCUCUCUUCUCUUAUCUUUUUAUAUUUUGAUUGGUUUAUUUAUUAUUGCUUCAAAUUUAUUUAAGAUUUGCAUCUAGUUUCGAUUUAGUAUUGAAUAAUUUUUAGAAUCUCAAUUCACCACCCUCUUGAGUUGCAUAACUAAUAUGAGAUAGUAAAUAAAGUGUGAGAUAUAGCAUACAUGAGAGGAUAGAGUGGAUAGAAGGGCAAAUGGAAGCCCUGAUGGUGGUAUUGCACGAAUUGAGAGAGAGGCGAAGAAGGUUUAGCGGAAGAAAUUCAGAGGAAAACCAAAACUUCCUAGAGCCCAACAAUAGAAUGCUCUGUGACAAGUAAGAGCCAAGGGUAGGAAACCAAACAUGUGGCGAGCAUAACCUAAUGAAUAUUGUAGGAGGAAUAAAUAUUGAAGAAAUAAAGCUACAGUAACACUUACAAGAUAUUGAGCAGCACUUACAAAACAUCGAGCAGAAGCAUGAAUAGGUUACUGCAUAUUAAAAAGUUGUACUCAAUUGAUUAACAUAUAUGAUAUAAAAUAUUAAAGAGUUGUACUCAAUUGAAUAUGAUUUAUGUUAUGAUAAUUUAUCACCUUAUUUAUAUUCUUUGAGAUGUUUAUUAUUUGUUUAACAUUAUAAUUUGUAAGGGUAUAAAUGUAAAAAUAUUAGUUUUCAGAUUUUUUUUAAGUUAAACAAGCAAACAACUUAAUAUUUAUUUUUAGCUAUUCAGACAAAAAAACAAACAUGUCAUUUAGAUUUAAACAUUCAGCUCUAUUUAGAAUUCAGAUUAAUUCAGGUCUAUUUAGAUUUCAGAUAAAAAAUAAACGUCACCUAAAUCAUACAUUUUCUUCUUUUAAUACUGAAAUUUUUUGUUUUAAUUUCUAUUGAUAUAAUUUAUUUAAUUUAUAAUAAAUAUGAAUAAAAAUAUAUUUAAAAAUAAAAAUCAUAGUAUAAAAUUAUAUUAUUAAGGAGGUUAUUGGCUAUUAUGAAAACUAUAGAGAUAAAUGAUAUAUAUUGAUUUUAGAUAAAUUGACAGCUUAAAGGUAAGGCUGCAUUUGUGGAAUAUAUGAAACUUGACAAGCUGCAUUUGUGGAAUAUAUGAACCUUAUCGAGGUGCAUUUGUAGAACAUAUGAACCUUAUCCGACUGCAUUUAUAGAAUAUAUGAAUCUUAUCAUGCUGUAUUUGUGGAAUUAUGAACCUUGUGGGGCUGCAUUUUUAGAAUAUAUAAACCUUAUCGGGCUACAUUUGUGGAAUAAAUGAAUCUUAUCGAGUUGCAUUUGUGGAAUAUAUUAACCUUUAUCUCCCACUACAAUAUUUUAUACCCCUCGUUAUAUCGCACCAGCCCCUGCUAAUCAUUAUUAUACUAAUACAUAUUUUAUUUUUAUAUGAAAUAACUUAAAAGUAAAUAAUUUUUAAGUGCACCCACAUAAUAAUUUCUAUUAAUAUAUAAUUUAGUUAAGUUAAUUUCUUAAACCCUUAUUUCUUUUUAGCUUUUUAAAUUAUUAUCUAUUCUCAAAUAUUAGAAGAAAUUAAUUUACAAUGCACAAUAGAUUAUGAUGAAGAAGUAUCAAAUCUUUUCUUAUAGGCAUAAUAAUAAUGGAUAAAACCUUUAAAAAGAAUGUGAAAGAUUAUAGUGAUUGUGGAAAAAAAAAAUCCUUUUAGAAUAGAUUUUAUAAAUUUUACAUGCAGAAUGUUUAAAAAAAAGAUAAAAAAUUAUAAUAAAGUUAAAUUCAACAUUACGUGGAGUAUGCUGAGAAAUAAAGAUUAGUUUGAAAUUAUUAAUUGGGAUUAACCGAAAAGUAGAGGCUAGUCACUUGUGAGAUAUAAUAAGAGAGUAAAAUAUUACCGCUGAUUAAAUACAAAAGAUAGCAUAUAUUUUUUUUUUUUGUCUGAGCCACGAGGUGGUCCUGAGUGGACCCUAACUGUGGGAGGUAACUUUAAGCCCAUAGCACAACCCAGACUAAUCCAUGCUCGCACCGGAUUGGCCCGUAAGGGAUAAAGUGCUGGCUAAAGUGGUGACUUCAUAUGAGAGCGGGGCUUGAACCCCUAACCUCUCUUAAAGAGUGCGGGUGCCGAACCAUUCACACCAACUAACUUUGGUUAAAAGAUAGCAUAUUUGAAUGUACAGAGAGUCUUCAAUCGGGAAUUACGGAUCUAGUUUCUGUAAUACUGAAAACCAAUGGGAUUCUCCCAUCACCUGCAAGAAAUCGUAGCCUUUUAUGCUUUCAUUUUUUCAAUUAUCUGCGUCUAUGUGGCUACAAGCAUUGCCAAAAGGAACAAGUAAGGAGGCAGGAAGCCACCAGAAGCGGCAGGGGCAUGGCCUUGUGUCGGUCACCUUCAUCUCCUGGCAGGAUCAAACCAGUUAAUACACCGAACACUUGGGAAAAUGGCUGAUAAGUACGGAAGAGCCUUCUUGAUCCACCUUGGAAUUCAUCGAGCACUUGUGAUUAGCAGCUGGGAAGUGGCAAAAGAAUGUUUCACCACCAAUGACAAGCUCUUCUCCACACGUCCAAAAUCCUUAGCUGCGAAGCUCAUGGGUUAUGACCAUGCCAUUAUUGGCUUUGCUCCUUACGGAUCGUAUUGGCGAGAAGUUAGAAAACUUUCUGUUGAUGCCGAAAUCCGAACCAGUUGGUUAGUGACUCAAUUUCGGAUCCCUGCAUCAGCAUUAAAUUUGUUUGGUGGGAAGCUAUUGGUUGAUCUCCAAGAAUAUUCUCUGACUAUGAGCAGAACAUUCAUGAGCAUAUAUUCUUCAAGCUGACGACCAAGAAGUACCUGAAAUUACAGAGAAUAGUCAGAGGCGCCGGAAGUUUUUCCGGCGUAAAUCCUCCGACGCUCAAGUCAGUUAUGAGAUUUACAGGAAAAACCAAAUAUGCCAUUUCUCAUAUGGCUUAAUAAACAUUGCCUUAAAACCAAAAGCUUUUUGAAUAAUUUACAGAAAAGUAAAGUCGAGUCUCCAUAAAGAAUUUCUCAGUGAGAUCAAGAGAAAAAGAGCCCCACUUUCCCCCUUUGGCGUGGUUUUCUCGGGGUUUUUAUAAACAUCCCACACCCACGACCUUAGAUCGUGACAAUAACCAUUAAUUGAUCAAAUUCGUGCUCUGAUUUUUCGGAGGAGCUUUGUAGUGGUUUAUUUUAACUGAGUCUUGAUUCCUGGUCAUCAUCUGGUCGAGGUGAUCUGCUCAAGCUCAUACCACCUGAAGCUUGUCGAGGUGAUAUGCUCAAGCUCAUAGCACAUGGUCGAGGUGAUCUGCUCAAGCUCAUAGCACCUGGUCGAGGUGAUAUGCUCAAGCACAUAGCACCUGGUCGAGGUGAUCUGCUCAAGCACAUAGCACAUGGUCGAGGUGAUCUGCUCAAGCUCAUAGCACCUGGUCGAGGUGAUCUGCUCAAGCUCAUAGCACCUGGUCGAGGUGAUCUGCUCAAGCACAUAGCACAUGGUCGAGGUGAUCUGCUCAAGCUCAUAGCACCUGGUCGAGGUGAUCUCCUCAAGCUCAUACCACCUGGUCGAGGUGGUCUCCUCAAGCUCAUACCACCUGGUCGAGGUGAUCUGCUCAAGCUCAUAUCACCUGGUCAAGGUGAUCUGCUCAACCUCAUAGUACAUGGUCGAGGUGGUCUGCUCAACCAUUUGCUCACUUUCAUUUGGAGGAGAUCAUGGUAGCUCUAUUUAAUUCCUCAAACACUUUCCACGGCCCAACUUUUCUCAAAUCAUCGGCUUGAGUUGCUCAAGCAUGUUCGUGACACUGAAGUCAAAGUCUUUAUCAAAGAGUUACACGAACAAUGUGCCAAAAAUGAGGGCCAUGUUGCUGUUGAGAUGAAGGAAAGGUUUAAGGACUUGGCAAUGAAUAUUAUAGUCAGAAUGGUUGCUGGUAAAAGAUAUUAUGGUUGGGACACCAAUGCGGAUGAUCAAGAAUCAAAACGAUUUCAGAAGGCCUUGCGUGAUUUCUUAUAUCUAUUAGGGCUAUUCUUGGCCUCAGAUAACAUUCCAUGUCUUGGUUGGUUAGAUACUGUAAAGGGAUACACAGGUCAAAUGAAGAGAACAGCAAAGGAGUUGGAUGAUGUGUUUGGUAGGCUGGUGCACGAGCAUCGUCAUAAGAGGCUCAACGGGUGCAUCAACAAGGAUGAGGAAGACUUCAUUGAUGUCAUGCUGUCUGUCAUGGAUGAUGGCAAGACUUCUCCUGAGGAUGCCGAUACUGUCAUUAAGGCCACUUGCUUGGUAAGUCCCUGGGAAUUCUGCAACAUAGAUUUACACAGAUAAGAGAGAAAUUAACUACUGUCUACGAUGAAGAUGCAAAAGCAUUAGAAAAGUAGAACUUAAUUUGGCUAGGGUCUGAUCUCUCCUGAAAACUGUUGAGAAUAUGACGAUUGAUUUUUUGUUUCUUUUGGCAAAAGCUAAAUUAAAAUAAAAGGUGAUAUAGGGAAGCCAAUGAAAUCCAUCUGCUCAUGAUCUAUCAGUAACUACAGAUUACUGGAAUGAUAACUAUUUAAGUGACCAUCUCUCUGUGUACUCUUGUUCAUUUUGCAGAGCGUACUAUCAGGUGGCAAUGAUACCACAGUGACCACAUUUACAUGGGCACUAUCUCUUCUAUUGAACAACCGGCAUGUACUAAAAAAGGCACAAGAUGAGCUUGACAUCCAUGUUGGAAAGAACCGGCAAGUUGAGGAAUCUGAUGUUAAGAACCUGAUAUACUUACAAGCAAUUGUCAAAGAAACAUUAAGAUUAUGCCCUCCGCUACCACUUUCAGCUCCACGUGAGGCCAUGGAGGAUUGCACCAUUGAUGGCUACCACAUCCCAGCAGGCACACGGCUUAUAGUUAACUUGUGGAAGAUGCAUCGUGACCCCAGCAUUUGGGCAAACCCAUCAGAAUUUAUACCUGAUAGAUUCCUAAAUGAAAAUGCCAAGUUGGAUGUUAAUGGUCAGGAUUUUGAAUUUUUACCAUUUGGCUCUGGUAGAAGGAAGUGUCCAGGGAUCUCAUUCGCUCUUCAGGUUCAGCACUUGACAUUGGCACGCC